rnacentral:rRNA from 1 species
GACGAACGCUGGCGGCGCGCCUAACACAUGCCAGUCGAACGGAGCUGAGAGAAGCUUGCUUUUCUUAGCUUAGUGGCGAACGGGUGAGUAACGCGUGAGUAACCUGCCCUGGAGUGGGGGACAACAGUUGGAAACGACUGCUAAUACCGCAUAAGCCCACGAUCCGGCAUCGGAUUGAGGGAAAAGGAUUUAUUCGCUUCAGGAUGGACUCGCGUCCAAUUAGCUAGUUGGUGAGGUAACGGCCCACCAAGGCGACGAUUGGUAGCCGGACUGAGAGGUUGAACGGCCACAUUGGGACUGAGACACGGCCCAGACUCCUACGGGAGGCAGCAGUGGGGGAUAUUGCACAAUGGGGGAAACCCUGACGCAGCGACGCCGCGUGGAGGAAGAAGGUUUUCGGAUUGUAAACUCCUGUCGUUAGGGACGAUAAUGACGGUACCUAACAAGAAAGCACCGGCUAACUACGUG